AUUGAACGCUGGCGGCCGGCCUAACACAUGCAAGUCGAACGAGUGGCGGACGGGUGAGUAAUGUCUGGGAAACUGCCCGAUGGAGGGGGAUAACUACUGGAAACGGUGGCUAAUACCGCAUACCAUCAGAUGUGCCCAGAUGGGAUUAGCUAGUUGUUGGGGUAACUGCUCACCAAGGCGACGACCCCUAGCUGGUCUGAGAGGAUGACCAGAAACACUGGUACUGCGACACGGUCCAGACUCCUACGGGAGGCAGCAGUUGGGAAUAUUGGACAAUGGGCGCAAGCCUGAUGCAGCCAUGCCGCUUGUAUGAAGAAGGCCUUCGGGUUGUAAAGUACUUUCAGCGGGGAGGCGUUACCCGCAGAAGAAGCACCGGCUAACUCCGUGCCAGCAGCCGCGGUAAUAC
rnacentral:rRNA from 1 species